rnacentral:sRNA from 1 species
UCACUCGAAAUUUGAACUCAAAACUUUGC